UUAGCUGGCCCUCUUCUCAGGUGUAGAUCACGUAUUAUCAUUUCACCUGUUUUUGAUUCUCUGAUGAGGCAAGUCCCAGGACUUAUCAGCAGGGAUAGGCCUCAUUGCCAAGACAGCUCUGUUCAGUAUUUGGAAGAAAGCCUGACAGGUUUCUCCGGGAAAGUGACCAUCCAUGGAAUGAAUGAAAUGUUCCCUUUCUAUUCCUACCACCAAUAACAUUUUCCCUCGGCCUCAAGAGACACUCACAAAACAAUGGCCCACAGUGCUUUUUAGGACAAGAACUGCAGUUGUGUACUGUGCGUGCAUAGUCCUACGCAGGAGGAAGGCAAUGUUUAAAGCUGCUGUCGCCUCCUGGAAAAAAAAAAAAAAGAAAACUGGGACUCUGAGUCAACGUGGGUCCAAGCCUGUAGCCCCAAAUCGGAUAAUCUCUGCAGCUGAUAACAAGCAAAAGAGAAGCCAGGCAACAGCCAUAUUAAAGAAGAAAACAAUCAACUCUGAGGGGCUGACAGACUGUGGACCCAUCAACUGGCUUCCUUGCCCUCCAGCUUCCAGUAGGCUUCAGCCAAGGAGACAUGGGGAAGAAAUGAAAGGAAGAAGACUAAGAUUGGGUCUUUAUUGGAGUAUUUAUUGCCUUGAUGGAAGAUCCAGCACCUGUUGGGUGACUUUCUCACAGAGAUCUGUGUGCCCUUCCUUUCCCGUGAUCAAAGCACUGAGGGUCACCUGAAUGGAUGCAUCAUAGCCAUUUCCCUGUCCCAUUCUACUCCUCCAAAUGCAAGUGCUCUCAAAUGAACCCCCUACUUCUACCCUCACCUUACCUACCUGAUUAUCCAAGACAGAAACAGGGCACACUAUGGACUACUUCUGCAGAUGGUGACUGCAGCCAUGGAGUUAAAAGACGCUUACUCCUUGGAAGGAAAGUUAUGACCAACCUAGGCAGCAUAUUAAAGAGUAGAGACAUUACUUUGCUAACACAGGUCCGUCUAGUCAAGGCUAUGGUUUUUCCAGUGGUCAUGUAUGGAUGUGAGAGUUGGACUGUGAAGAAAGCUGAGCGCUGAAGAAUUGAUGCUUUGAACUGUGGUGUUGGAGAAGACUUUGGGAGUCCCUUGGACUGCAAGGAGAUCCAACCAGUCCAUCCUAAAGGAGAUGAGUCCUGGGUGUUCUUUGGAAGGAAUGAUGCUAAGGCUGAAACUCCAGUCCUUUGGCCACCUCAUGCGAAGAGUUGACUCAUUGGAAAAGACUCUGAUGCUUGGAGGGAUUGGGGGCAGGAGGAGAAGGGGACAACAGAGGAUGAGAUGGCUGGAUGGCAUCACUGACUCGAUGGAUGUGAGUUUAGUGAACUCCGGGAGUUGGUGAUGGACAGGGAGGCCUGGCGUGCUGCAAUUCAUGGGGUCACAAAAAGUUGGACACGACUGAGUGACUGAACUGAACUGAACUGAUGGACUACUUCCUUUUUCUUCAUUUCUGCCUCCAUCCCCAUGUUCAAUCAAUCACGGUCUUAUCAGUUUUAUCCUUCCUAUAUUUCUGACUGCCACUGCCUAAUUCUUUCCUCCCUUAUCUCUUGCCUGGAUGAUUACACUUCCUGCCCACCUCCUAACCCACAGCCCUCUCCUACUACCUCUAUUCUUAUCCCCCUCUGGUCUUUUAUUUUCAUUGUCACUAGGAAAUCUAUCUAGAGCACCAACUCUGCCCAUGUUGCUCUUGGGGUUAAAAGCUCUCCAGUGGCU
ensembl:lncRNA